rnacentral:rRNA from 1 species
CGCCGCGCGCGCGGCGGGCUACGGGAGGCAGCAGUGGGGAAUAUUGCACAAUGGGCGCAAGCCUGAUGCAGCCAUGCCGCGUGUAUGAAGAAGGCCUUCGGGUUGUAAAGUACUUUCAGCGGGGAGGAAGGUGUUGUGGUUAAUAACCGCAGCAAUUGACGUUACCCGCAGAAGAAGCACCGGCUAACUCCGUGCCAGCAGCCGCGGUAAUA